rnacentral:lncRNA from 1 species
CGGGACCAGUUUGCCAAGCUGGUGCGGGAGGUGGCAGCCCCUGAUGUUGGCCGCAUGGGCAUUGAGAUCCUCAGCUUCACCAUCAAGGACCCAAGCGUCUUGGCAGGGGUGCUGUGAAUGUCCAGUGGUCCCAGCUCCCCACCCUGGCCCUGCCCCAGCCUGUGUAGCUCUUCCUGCAUGUGGAUGCUGCAUGUCUGGUCUGGGGCUUGGAUGUUGCACUGCCCCACUGCCUGUCCCUUCUGGUAAAAUAAAGAACUCUUAAUGCC